rnacentral:rRNA from 1 species
AUUGAACGCUGGCGGCGUGCUUAACACAUGCAAGUCGAACGAUUAAAGCCCCUUCGGGGGUGUAUAGAGUGGCGAACGGGUGAGUAUAAAUUGGGUAAUCUGCCUCAGACACCGGGAUAGCUCAUGGAAACGUGAAUUAAUACCGGAUACUCCGUUACUGUCGCAUGGCAGUUUCGGGAAAGCUUUUGCGGUCUGAGAUGAACCCAAUCCCUAUUAGGUAGUUGGUGAGGUAAUGGCCCACCAAGCCUGCGAUGGGUAGCCGAGCUGAGAGGCUGAGCGGCCACACUGGUACUGAGACACGGACCAGACUCCUACGGGAGGCAGCAGUGAGGAAUUUUCCGCAAUGGGCGCAAGCCUGACGGAGCAACGCCGCGUGGAGGAUGACGGUUUUCGGAUUGUAAACUCCUUUCAGUAGUGAUGAAAUUGACAGUAACUACAGAAGAAGCCCCGGCUAAAUACGUGCCAGCCGCCGCGGUAA